rnacentral:rRNA from 1 species
AGCGAACGCUGGCGGCAGGCUUAACACAUGCAAGUCGAGCGGGCCCUUCGGGGUCAGCGGCAGACGGGUGAGUAACGCGUGGGAACGUGCCCUUCGGUUCGGAAUAACCCUGGGAAACUAGGGCUAAUACCGGAUACGCCCUUAUGGGGAAAGGUUUACCGCCGAAGGAUCGGCCGGCGUCGGAUUAGCUUGUUGGUGAGGUAACGGCUCACCAAGGCGACGAUCAGUGGCUGGUCUGAGAGGAUGAUCAGCCACACUGGGACUGAGACACGGCCCAGACUCCUACGGGAGGCAGCAGUGGGGAAUAUUGGACAAUGGGGGCAACCCUGAUCCAGCCAUGCCGCGUGAGUGAUGACGGCCUUAGGGUUGUAAAGCUCUUUUACCCGGGACGAUAAUGACGGUACCGGGUGAAUAAGCCCCGGCUAACUUCGUGCCAGCCGCCGCGGUAA